AUUAUUAGCUAUAACCCAACUUACACAUGCAAGUAUCCGCAACCCCGUGAGUAUGCCCUCAAUCCCCUGCCCGGGGACGAGGAGCGGGCAUCAGGCACAAAUUUUUUUAGCCCAAGACGCCUGGCCUAGCCACACCCCCAAGGGAAUUCAGCAGUGAUAAAUAUUAAGCCAUGAGUGAAAACUCGACUCAAUUAGGUUUAAGAGGGCCGGUAAAACUCGUGCCAGCCACCGCGGUUAAACGAGAGGCCCUAGUUAAUAAUACACGGCGUAAAGGGUGGUUAAGGAGCAUACAACAAUAAAGUCGAAUGGCCCUUUGGCUGUCACACGCUUCUAGGUGUCCGAAGCCCAAUAUACGAAAGUAACUUUAAUGAAGCCCACCUGACCCCACGAAAGCUGAGAAACAAACUGGGAUUAGAUACCCCACUAUGCUCAGCUAUAAACCUAGACGUUCAACUACAAUUAACGUCCGCCAGGGUACUACGAGCAUUAGCUUGAAACCCAAAGGACCUGACGGUGCCUUAGACCCCC
rnacentral:rRNA from 1 species